AGGCCCUUGGUGUAGCGGUAACACAAUAGACUUUGAAUCUAUUGUCCCUGGUUCAAUCCCAGGAGGGCCUUCCA
rnacentral:tRNA from 1 species